CCUACGGGAGGCAGCAGUGGGGAAUUUUGGACAAUGGGCGAAAGCCUGAUCCAGCAAUGCCGCGUGUGUGAAGAAGGCCUUCGGGUUGUAAAGCACUUUUGUCCGGAAAGAAAUCCUUGACUCUAAUACAGUCGGGGGAUGACGGUACCGGAAGAAUAAGCACCGGCUAACUACGUGCCAGCAGCCGCGGUAAUACGUAGGGUGCGAGCGUUAAUCGGAAUUACUGGGCGUAAAGCGUGCGCAGGCGGUUUGCUAAGACCGAUGUGAAAUCCCCGGGCUCAACCUGGGAACUGCAUUGGUGACUGGCAGGCUAGAGUAUGGCAGAGGGGGGUAGAAUUCCACGUGUAGCAGUGAAAUGCGUAGAGAUGUGGAGGAAUACCGAUGGCGAAGGCAGCCCCCUGGGCCAAUACUGACGCUCAUGCACGAAAGCGUGGGGAGCAAACAGGAUUAGAUACCCUGGUAGUCCACGCCCUAAACGAUGUCAACUAGUUGUUGGGGAUUCAUUUCCUUAGUAACGUAGCUAACGCGUGAAGUUGACCGCCUGGGGAGUACGGUCGCAAGAUUAAAACUCAAAUGAAAUUGACGGCUGAGAGNGCGAGACGACACGAGGAGAGG
rnacentral:rRNA from 1 species